CAGACACGAGUGAACUGGUGUGAGCUGCACAGAGAUAAUGGACAGCGAGAGGAAACUGGAGGUUCGAGAGCCCUGGGGUCAGGUACGUUGAGACAUGGCAGACUCAUUUAUAGGGAGAGCGCACUGAACACUGAAAGUCAUCGAGGGCCAGACUGUCGCCCGCCCAAAGGGUAACUCAUGACCUUCAUAAUACAUUUAUAUAAUAAUAUAAAAAUAUUAUAAUGUU